rnacentral:lncRNA from 1 species
ACAUUUGUAUGCUUGCAGAACUACUAACACAAAAUAAUGAUGUUGACAAUCAUAACUGAAUUGUUUUUCAUAUCUUACUUUGCAGGAUAUCUGGUGUGGAUCAUGGUAAUUUUAUUCCUCCUCAUCGGCGUCGUGAUCUUCAUAUUUGUCUUCAUGUGUCAGAAAUAUAGGAAGGUUAGUUUUCGGGUGAAUGGAAAAUGCGAUGAUCACGAUGAAACGGUACCAUUGGAGAAUGUUCAACCUCUGGAUGCAGAAGCUGCUGGGGCAACUGCCGGAGUUACUGGUGGAAUUGACAACGUGGUGAAAGAAACAGAUGAGAAAACUGCAGUUGGAGAUGUCCCAGCAGCUGUGGACGGGACAGCUGGCAAGGACUUGAAGGAGGAAACGAAGCAGGAAGCACCAACAACUUCCCCAUCAGCACCCUCACCUGCAUAUUCUUCAGAGGAGUUCACCGGAUUCUAAGUCAU